rnacentral:rRNA from 1 species
UACGUAGGGUCCGAGCGUUGUCCGGAAUUAUUGGGCGUAAAGAGCUCGUAGGCGGCUUGUCACGUCGGAUGUGAAAGCCCGGGGCUUAACUCCGGGUCUGCAUUCGAUACGGGCUAGCUAGAGUGUGGUAGGGGAGAUCGGAAUUCCUGGUGUAGCGAUGAAAUGCGCAGAUAUCAGGAGGAACACCGGUGGCGAAGGCGGAUCUCUGGGCCGAUACUGACGCUGAGGAGCGAAAGCGUGGGGAGCGAACAGG